rnacentral:rRNA from 1 species
AUUGAUGGAGAGUUUGAUCCUGGCUCAGGAUGAACGCUGGCGGCGUGCCUAACACAUGCAAGUCGAACGGUCCCUUCGGGGA